GUCUGCAACUCGACUCCAUGAAGGUGGAAUCGCUAGUAAUCGCGCAUCAGCCAUGGCGCGGUGAAUACGUUCCCGGACCUUGUACACACCGCCCGUCAAGCCAUGGAAGCCGAGGGUGCCUGAAGAUGGUGACUUUACAGAGAGCUAUCUAAGGUAAAAUUGGUAACUAGGGCUAAGUCGAAACAAGGUAGCCGUACCG
rnacentral:rRNA from 1 species